rnacentral:rRNA from 1 species
AUUGAACGCUGGCGGCAGGCCUAACACAUGCAAGUCGAACGAGUGGCGGACGGGUGAGUAAUGUCUGGGAAACUGCCUGAUGGAGGGGGAUAACUACUGGAAACGGUAGCUAAUACCGCAUACCAUCAGAUGUGCCCAGAUGGGAUUAGCUAGUAGGUGGGGUAAUGGCUCACCUAGGCGACGAUCCCUAGCUGGUCUGAGAGGAUGACCAGCCACACUGGAACUGAGACCAGGUCCAGACUCCUACGGGAGGCAGCAGUGGGGAAUAUUGCACAAUGGGCGCAGGCCUGAUGCAGGCCUGCCGCGUGUGUGAAGAAGGCCUUUGGGUUGUAAAGCACUUUCAGCGAGGAGGCGUUACUCGCAGAAGAAGCACCGGCUAACUCCGUGCCAGCAGCCGCGGUAAUAC